rnacentral:SRP_RNA from 1 species
GCUGGGCAUGAUGGCACAUGCCUGUAGUUCUGUAUACUUGGGAGGCUGAGGCAGGAGAAUCACUUGAGCCCAGGAGUUCGAGGUUACAGUGAGCUGUGAUUGUGCCACUGUACUUCAUCCUGGGCGACAGAGUGAGACCCUGUCUCCA